UACGUAGGGGGCAAGCGUUGUCCGGAUUUAUUGGGCGUAAAGCGCGUGUAGGCGGCCAGAUAGGUCUGCUGUGAAAACUCGAGGCUCAACCUCGAGCUGUCGGCGGAAACCAUCUGGCUAGAGUCCGGAAGAGGAGAGUGGAAUUCCUGGUGUAAGCGGUGAAAUGCGCAGAAUAUCAGGAAGAACACCUAUGGCGAAGGCAGCUCUCUGGGAACGGUACUG
rnacentral:rRNA from 1 species